AGAGUUUGAUCAUGGCUCAGGACGAACGCUGGCGGCGUGCCUAAUACAUGCAAGUAGAACGCUGAAGAGAGGAGCUUGCUCUUCUUGGAUGAGUUGCGAACGGGUGAGUAACGCGUAGGUAACCUGCCUUGUAGCGGGGGAUAACUAUUGGAAACGAUAGCUAAUACCGCAUAACAAUGGAUGACACAUGUAAUUUAUUUGAAAGGGGCAAUUGCUCCACUACAAGAUGGACCUGCGUUGUAUUAGCUAGUAGGUGAGGUAAUGGCUCACCUAGGCGACGAUACAUAGCCGACCUGAGAGGGUGAUCGGCCACACUGGGACUGAGACACGGCCCAGACUCCUACGGGAGGCAGCAGUAGGGAAUCUUCGGCAAUGGGGGCAACCCUGACCGAGCAACGCCGCGUGAGUGAAGAAGGUUUUCGGAUCGUAAAGCUCUGUUGUAAGUCAAGAACGGGUGUGAGAGUGGAAAGUUCACACUGUGACGGUAGCUUACCAGAAAGGGACGGCUAACUACGUGCCAGCAGCCGCGGUAAUACGUAGGUCCCGAGCGUUGUCCGAAUUUAUUGGGCGUAAAGCGAGCGUAGGCGGUUUGAUAAGUCUGAAGUUAAAGGCUGUGGCUCAACCAUAGUUCGCUUUGGAAACUGUCAAACUUGAGUGCAGAAGGGGAGAGUGGAAUUCCAUGUGUAGCGGUGAAAUGCGUAGAUAUAUGGAGGAACACCGGUGGCGAAAGCGGCUCUCUGGUCUGUAACUGACGCUGAGGCUCGAAAGCGUGGGGAGCGAACAGGAUUAGAUACCCUGGUAGUCCACGCCGUAAACGAUGAGUGCUAGGUGUUGGAUCCUUUCCGGGAUUCAGUGCCGCAGCUAACGCAUUAAGCACUCCGCCUGGGGAGUACGACCGCAAGGUCGAAACUCAAAGGAAUUGACGGGGGCCCGCACAAGCGGUGGAGCAUGUGGUUUAAUUCGAAGCAACGCGAAGAACCUUACCAGGUCUUGACAUCCCGAUGCUAUUUCUAGAGAUAGAAAGUUACUUCGGUACAUCGGUGACAGGUGGUGCAUGGUUGUCGUCAGCUCGUGUCGUGAGAUGUUGGGUUAAGUCCCGCAACGAGCGCAACCCCUAUUGUUAGUUGCCAUCAUUCAGUUGGGCACUCUAGCGAGGCUGCCGGUAAUAAACCGGAGGAAGGUGGGGAUGACGUCGAAUCAUCAUGCCCCUUAUGACCUGGGCUACACACGUGCUACAAUGGUUGGUACAACGAGUUGCGAGUCGGUGACGGCGAGCUAAUCUCUUAAAGCCAAUCUCAGUUCGGAUUGUAGGCUGCAACUCGCCUACAUGAAGUCGGAAUCGCUAGUAAUCGCGGAUCAGCACGCCGCGGUGAAUACGUUCCCGGGCCUUGUACACACCGCCCGUCACACCACGAGAGUUUGUAACACCCGAAGUCGGUGAGGUAACCUUUUGGAGCCAGCCGCCUAAGGUGGGACAGAUGAUUGGGGUGAAGUCGUAACAAGGUA
rnacentral:rRNA from 1 species